ensembl:snoRNA
AGGACAUUUCAAUGAGGGCUCAUGGGGCUGUGAAGCUAAGAGCUAUUAACACUAUGACCAAGGGUUGAAAUUCUCUAUAGGAUCCAUAGCACUGAAUAGUGCAACAUUUUCCUGAGGGAGUAUAAGA